rnacentral:rRNA from 1 species
CAGUCGCCGCGGUAAUACGAAGGGGGCUAGCGUUGUUCGGAAUUACUGGGCGUAAAGCGCGCGCAGGCGGUCUUCCAAGUCAGUGGUGAAAGCCCGGAGCUCAACUCCGGAACUGCCAUUGAAACUGUGAGACUUGAGUAUGAGAGAGGUGAGUGGAAUUCCCAGUGUAGAGGUGAAAUUCGUAGAUAUUGGGAAGAACACCGGUGGCGAAGGCGGCUCACUGGCUCAUUACUGACGCUCAGGCGCGACAGCGUGGGGAUCAAACAGGAUUAGAGACCCCAGUAGUCCCUGUCUCUUAUAC